UGAGUAACACGUAUCCAACCUGCCGUCUACUCUUGGCCAGCCUUCUGAAAGGAAGAUUAAUCCAGGAUGGCAUCAUGAGUUCACAUGUCCGCAUGAUUAAAGGUAUUUUCCGGUAGACGAUGGGGAUGCGUUCCAUUAGAUAGUAGGUGGGGUAACGGCCCACCUAGUCAACGAUGGAUAGGGGUUCUGAGAGGAAGGUCCCCCACAUUGGAACUGAGACACGGUCCAG
rnacentral:rRNA from 1 species